AGAGUUUGAUCCUGGCUCAGAUUGAACGCUGGCGGCAUGCCUUACACAUGCAAGUCGAACGGCAGCAUGAUCUAGCUUGCUAGAUUGAUGGCGAGUGGCGAACGGGUGAGUAAUACAUCGGAACGUGCCCUGUAGUGGGGGAUAACUAGUCGAAAGAUUAGCUAAUACCGCAUACGACCUGAGGGUGAAAGUGGGGGACCGCAAGGCCUCAUGCUAUAGGAGCGGCCGAUGUCUGAUUAGCUAGUCGGUGAGGUAAAGGCUCACCAAGGCGACGAUCAGUAGCUGGUCUGAGAGGACGAUCAGCCACACUGGGACUGAGACACGGCCCAGACUCCUACGGGAGGCAGCAGUGGGGAAUUUUGGACAAUGGGCGAAAGCCUGAUCCAGCAAUGCCGCGUGUGUGAAGAAGGCCUUCGGGUUGUAAAGCACUUUUGUCCGGAAAGAAAUGGCUCUGGUUAAUACCUGGGGUCGAUGACGGUACCGGAAGAAUAAGGACCGGCUAACUACGUGCCAGCAGCCGCGGUAAU
rnacentral:rRNA from 1 species